rnacentral:rRNA from 1 species
AACGAACGCUGGCGGCAUGCUUAACACAUGCAAGUCGAACGAGAACUCCGGGUCUAGUGGCGCAAGGGUGCGUACCGCGUGGGAAAAUGCCUGUAGGUUAGGAAUAACACCUGGCCCGAGGUGCUAAUUAAGCCUAAUGUACUCGGACUAAUGAUUUAUGGCCCUGGGAUGGGCGGGCGUUGGAUGAGCUAGUUGGUAGGGUAAAAGCCUACGAAGGCGCGGCCCAUCAGCUGGUAUGAGAGGAUGAUCAGCAACAAUGGGACUAAGACAAGGCCCAGACUCGUACGGUAGGCAGCAGGGGGGAAUAUGAUACAGUGGGCGAAAGCCUGAUCCAGCAGUGCCGCGGGAGUGAUGAAGUCCUUAGGGUGGGAAAGCUCUUUUACUCGGGAUGAGAAUGAGAUUACCGGAAGAAUAAGCCCCGGCUAACUCCGU